CAGCCGCCGCGGUAAUACGUAGGGUGCAAGCGUUAAUCGGAAUUACUGGGCGUAAAGCGUGCGCAGGCGGUGUUGUAAGACUGAUGUGAAAUCCCCGGGCUCAACCUGGGAACUGCAUUGGUGACUGCAACGCUGGAGUGCGGCAGAGGGGGAUGGAAUUUCCGGUGUAGCAGUGAAAUGCGUAGAGAUCGGAAGGAACAUCUGUGGCGAAGGCGACUAUCUGGGCCAUUACUGACACUGAGGCACGAAAGCGUGGGGAUCGAACAGGAUUAGAUACCCCCGUAGUCCCUGUCUCUUAUAC
rnacentral:rRNA from 1 species